CAACCCUGAUCCAGCAAUGCCGCGUGAGUGAUGAAGGCCUUCGGGUUGUAAAGCUCGUUUGGCGGGGACGAUGAUGACGGUACCCGCAGAAUAAGCCCCGGCUAACUUCGUGCCAGCAGCCGCGGUAAUACGAAGGGGGCUAGCGUUGUUCGGAAUUACUGGGCGUAAAGGGCGCGUAGGCGGCUCUGAUCGUCGGAUGUGAAAGGCCUGGGCUCAACCUGGGAACGGCAUCCGAUACGGCGGGGCUUGAGUGUGGGAGAGGUUGGUGGAAUUCCCAGUGUAGAGGUGAAAUUCGUAGAUAUUGGGAAGAACACCGGUGGCGAAGGCGGCCAACUGGACCACAACUGACGCUGAGGCGCGAAAGCGUGGGGAGCAAACAGGAUUAGAUACCCUGGUAGUCCACGCUGUAAACGAUGCGUGCUAGACGUUGGGAGCCCUAGGCUCUCGGUGUCGUCGCUAACGCUUUAAGCACGCCGCCUGGGGAGUACGGCCGCAAGGUUA
rnacentral:rRNA from 1 species